rnacentral:rRNA from 1 species
UACAGAGGUCCCAAGCGUUGUUCGGAUUCAUUGGGCGUAAAGGGUGCGUAGGCGGCGCGGUAAGCCGGGUGUGAAAUCUCGGAGCUUAACUCCGAAACUGCAUUCGAUACUGCCGUGCUUGAGGACUGGAGAGGAGACUGGAAUUUACGGUGUAGCGGUGAAAUGCGUAGAUAUCGUAAGGAAGACCAGUGGCGAAGGCGGGUCUCUGGACAGUUCCUGACGCUGAGGCACGAAGGUCAGGGGAGCAAACGGG